rnacentral:rRNA from 1 species
GAUGAACGCUGGCGGCGUGCCUAAUACAUGCAAGUCGAGCGAACAGAUAAGGAGCUUGCUCCUUUGACGUUAGCGGCGGACGGGUGAGUAACACGUGGGUAACCUACCUAUAAGACUGGGAUAACUUCGGGAAACCGGAGCUAAUACCGGAUAAUAUUUCGAACCGCAUGGUUCGAUAGUGAAAGAUGGUUUUGCUAUCACUUAUAGAUGGACCCGCGCCGUAUUAGCUAGUUGGUAAGGUAACGGCUUACCAAGGCGACGAUACGUAGCCGACCUGAGAGGGUGAUCGGCCACACUGGAACUGAGACACGGUCCAGACUCCUACGGGAGGCAGCAGUAGGGAAUCUUCCGCAAUGGGCGAAAGCCUGACGGAGCAACGCCGCGUGAGUGAUGAAGGUCUUCGGAUCGUAAAACUCUGUUAUUAGGGAAGAACAUACGUGUAAGUAACGGUGCACGUCUUGACGGUACCUAAUCAGAAAGCCACGGCGAACUACGU